AGCUGGCGGUUAUAGCAUGGCCACUUCUGACUGUGACCUGACGAUCUACGACUGCGGCGGCCUGAACAUCACUGUGGCGAUGUACGAGGCUGUGCUGCACGGCUGCACGGCCGACGCUGGCACCGCGGCUUCUUCGGCAUUCCUUUGCGGCACCAUGGAGGUGACCGCAGCUCAGCGCACUGCUGUGCUUGGAGGGUGCACUCAGAAAUGCUUGGGUGGCGCUGUCGAGUUGAGCGGCGGUGCGGCACAGGGCGGCGUUGGCGGCGCGGUGGUCGUGACGGGCGGUGCGACGAACAGCACUAACCCGUACGCUCGCGGCGGUCAUGUUGAGGUCCGUGGUGGCACAGCUGCACUUGGCAGCGGUGGCGCAGUUUUGUUGUCGAGCGGCCGCAGCGCGCAGCGCUCAAGUGGUGAGGUGCUGGUGCGUACGGAGACGAGCGGCAACGACGGCGUGAGCGGCGAGAUCAGCGUCGAGACCGGUGCAUCCGCGGUCGGAGACAGCGGCGGGAUCACGCUGGCCACGGGGUCGGCGAUGACCGGCGCUGGCGGGGACGUGAACCUGCUGGUGGGAUCUGGCGACACCGAGAACGGCGGAGCUGUGGUGAUAAAAGCUGGCGAGAGCCACGCCGACUCGAAGAAGGGCGGCGGUGUGUUCAUCACAUCUGGCGCCGGCACGAGCGCCCAGGAAGGCUCUGGCGGCGAGCUCGUCAUGAUGGCGGGCAACGCUGAGGGCAGCUUGGCUGGCGACGGAGGCCGAGUUGAAAUCAGAGGUGGCAAGGCCGUUGGUGGCAGGGGUGGCGACGUGGCGGUGUCUGGUGGCAACAGCUACUCGGGCGACGGCGGCGCGCUGAUCCUGCAGGGCGGCUCGUCCGAAACCGGCACCGGCGGCGACGUGAUCCUCGACGCGGGCGAGAGCGGCACCCACGAGGAGUCCAAGGAGGGCAUGAUUCGCAUUGCUCCCACAAGUGCAUCCUACGUCAGGAUUGGCCGCAGCGGAUCCAAGACUGUGCGCACAGAUGUUUUUGGUGAUCUGACUGUGCACGGCAGCUUCGUGUCGACAAACAGCAUGGUGUUCCAGGACACGUACGCAGAGCGCGUGCACGUGAGCCAAGAGCAGGACCUGGUCAUCCAGGAAGAGACGCGUGUGCCAAAGAUCACGGGUCUGGACUCCGAAGAUGCGUCUGCUACCCCCACGAGCACGCUGACUCUUGACGCGGGCCAGGGCGGCAGUGACCAGUGGAUUGAGAUCGGUCCUUGGGAGGCUGAGUACAUCACCAUCGGUGGCAAGAACAACAAUGCCUCCCACGGUGCCCGCGACCAGUCUGCGCUGCUCCUGAGACAGGGCUACGAUGAGGCUGACAAGCGCCUGCAGAUGAACCGCACAGGAGCAAUCCUGAUGCAGGCUGCGGCGUCCAUGCCAAUUCUGAUCCACACCAACCCGACGCGCGGUACCAAUAACACCGGCGGCGACAUCAACAUGCUGGUCGGGUCCGGCGACACCGGGCACGGCGGCAACAUGACGCUGACGUCCGGCGACACCGUGGACGCUCGCCACAGAGGAGGCUUCCUGACACUCACGGCUGGUGGAAACAACAACACCGUGGGUGGCCAGGGCGGAGUGGUGAAGGUGACCGGCGGUUUUGCUGGUGGCACGACCGACUGCGAUCUGGACUACUACGAGUGCGGCGGCCUGAACAUCACCGUGGCGAUGUACGAGGCUGUGCUGCACGGCUGCACGGCCGACGCUGGCACCGCGGCUUCUUCGGCAUUCCUUUGCGGCACCAUGGAGGUGACCGCAGCUCAGCGCACUGCUGUGCUUGGAGGGUGCACC
rnacentral:lncRNA from 1 species